rnacentral:lncRNA from 1 species
GACGACUUGAGAAUGAUCCAGGACGGACCGAAACGUCGUCGUCCCUUCACUUUCUAGUGUGUGGUCUAGUCAACUUUCAGUUGAUUUCAUAAUGUCACUAAGAUUAUUCCAAUUACUGUAUACAGUAUGGGCAUUUCUCUUCAGUAAUAUGCUUGAAAAUUUCAAUUAAGUCUUAUAUACAGCAUCUACAGUACUAUGUUACAAUAAUCCUCACACUGAAUGCUUUUUAGCAUUUUGCUGUUACAAACACACAUUAGUUAUUCUUGUAUCCCAAGACUACAAUCAGUAAGGUAUCAUCUAACACCCCAAGACCACAAUCUGUAUAUUAUCAAACAUCCAAGGGCCACACAAUCAGUAUGUUAUCAUCUAACAUCCCAGGACCACAAUCAGUAAAGUACCAUGAUACAACCCAGAAACACAAUCAGUAUCGUAUUAUCUAACAUUCCAAGACCACAAUCAGUAAGGUAUCAUACACAAUCCAGGACCACAAUCAGUAAGGUAUCAUACACAACCCAGGACCACAAUCAGUAAGGUAUCAUACACAAUCCAGGACCACAAUCAGUAAGGUAUCAUACACAAUCCAGGACCACAAUCAGUAAGGUAUCAUACACAAUCCAGGACCACAAUCAGUAAGGUAUCAUACACAAUCCAGGACCACAAUCAGUAAGGUACCAUAAAACAUACCAGGACCACAAACAGUUUAGCAACAUCUGGCACCCCAGUGCCUCAAUCAUUAUGGCAACAUCAAACAGCCCAGAGCCACAAACCAGAAAGGUAACAUCACCACCACAAAUUAAGAGCCACAAACCAGAAAGGUAACAUCACCACCACAAAUUAAGAGCCACAAACCAGAAAGGUAACAUCACCACCACAAAUUAAGAGCCACAAACCAGAAAGGUAACAUCACCACCACAAAUUAAGAGCCACAAACCAGAAAGGUAACAUCACCACCACAAAUUAAGAGCCACAAACCAGAAAGGUAACAUCACCACCACAAAUUAAAUAUCCUCAGCAAGGUUUUCUCACUAAUAUGUCCACAGACAACCAAGAAAUAUUCUAAUUAGGAAUAACGAACAACAAUUUUAUAAAAUUACACGAGAGUCUGCCUCUCCAGGGAGUCGCCAAGACCAAGACCUACGGUCUCUUAAGACUAUUAUAACAUUUUCUCACCAAAAGACAUAAUUUUAAGGCAGCAUCACUUUAUAAGAUACAAUAGGUAAAUAUGUUUAUAUAAGUGGAAUACAUUUUAUGAUAAACAAGGCAUUUUAAAAAUGUUUCCCCCUGCUUCAAAAAUAUUAUUAUGUAAAUGUACUGUUUUAAAUUUGUUACAAUAAUUAUACUUAGAAAACUGUAUAAUAUGUGUAUACAAGUUAUUAUAAAUGUUGAUAAUGGAGAUACAUAUAGGGCUAAACAUUUGUUAAGUGUUUAAAAUCUGGAGAGAGUUUUGUUUGAGUUUUUGCUUUAUUUCAAUGAAUGUAUUACAGUUACCCUGAGAUAUAUCUUUAAAAUGUUUAAUGUUUGUCUUUCAAGCCAUAUUGUAUGCUCACACAAAUGUCAUACUGAUAUUACAAAGCCGUUUAUGUAUAUGUAUUUUUUAUAUGAUUAGCAAGAAGAGAAAAUUCUUUCCCCAUUGUUUCCCCUAACUUAGGUCCUCAUACAUCAGUACUCACAAGCUGCUGUUAAUAUUUUAUGUCAUUAACUUCUCUCAAGUUAUAACUUGCAGCAUUUGGAGUGAUGAAGUUAGAAUAAUAUUGUCCUAAUAUUAUGUUUGACUAGUGUUGAUAGCAAUGUUCAGUGUUUAAGUCGGACCAGUAUUGAUAGCAAUGUUCCAAUGUUUACAUUGGACCAGUAUUAAUACCAUUGUUCCAACACUAGACCAAUGUUAAGUCAACUGUAUACCUGCUCAAAAGGGAACAAUUGGAUAAUAAUUAGUACAAUCAUUACAUGAUAUCACACAACCCCAUAUGACCAUAGAUUUUAUAACCAAUCCCCACAUGAUAAAUUAUAAUUUUGCUUCUCAUAUAAUUUUGCUCAACUUUCAGCCUCCUUGUAUAAAGGAGUGCAGGUAUGGUGCACCAUCUUGCCUAGUUAGCCGACCUGUGGUGUCUCGGAUGCCAGACAUCCUUGACAAGUGUCGACCAAACAGGCGUGGCAUCAUACAAACCUAUUUAUUAUAUCAAUUUUUUUUUAGCAUGAUCAAACUGUUUACUAUGGAGGAGGGCAGAAUUCUUUUUCAAGUUUUUAUUUAUAUUUUUUUCAGCAUACUAUAUUCUAUCACAUAGCAAAAUAGGCAAAUGUAUUAAUGAUUUCAAGAGUGAGAUAUACAUUGGUUUAUUAUUGAAACAAAUGUAUUCUGUUAGUAUGUUAAGAGCUGCAAGCCGAGACCUUUCCCUUCCCUAACUCAUGGUAAGCCUUAACCCUCUAGUUUCCCUGCAAUACGACCAGCCAUUCAUUUAACAACCAGGAACCCAAUCACUGCUGGGUGAACAGAGGCAUACAGUUAAGGAUUGGCACCUAGUCAAUCCUUACCAGCCAGGAUACGAACCUAGGCCAAAUCGCUCGCAAAGUGUCGGGUGAGUGUGCUACCACUGUGCCACGGGGAUUGCAAUUAACAUCGCCUAAGCUCUGACCCGAACAUUUGUCGGAGUUAACAUUAAGCAGCAUCUUUCAAUCUUUCAUACAUAUUAAGUCUGUUUAAAUUGUCUUGUAGCAAUUUUGAGUCUGAAUUUAUUUGUCCAUUAUUUUUAAGAAAACUUAAAUUGAUAAUCAAUAUUUUGUAUAUUUUGCUUUUACAGCGUACACUUUUUAUCCUGAAUACUGUACAUUAUUUGUGUUAUACUUUAUUUAAUAUCUUAAGGGUUUAGUACAUAAUGUAUCUAUUAAUAUAACUAAAAGAAAACAAUCUUCGCUGAUACAGUCUAGAGGUGGCAGACCAAAGAACAGGUGCUGCCAUAUUCCCAGACACAACUCCCUUUUUUCAUGCUGCUUGAAAUUGAUGAAAUAUAGUGACCUUGUCCCAAACCCUUGUUGCGACCUUGUUGUGCAAAUAUGGGUUGUAAACAAGGGGUUACAAAAUGAAAUAUGGACCACUCUUGAUUUGUCAACGUGUGACCUCUGGAGAAUUAAAUAUAUUUGCGUGGCAAGCCAUGCUACUUC